rnacentral:rRNA from 1 species
GACGAACGCUGGCGGCGUGCUUAACACAUGCAAGUCGAACGGAAAGGCCCCUUUGGGGGUACUCGAGUGGCGAACGGGUGAGUAACACGUGAGUAACCUGCCCUUGACUUCGGGAUAACUUCAGGAAACUGGGGCUAAUACCGGAUAGGAAUCCUUGCUGCAUGGUGGGGGUUGGAAAGCUUCGGCGGUUUUGGAUGGACUCGCGGCUUAUCAGCUUGUUGGUGGGGUAGUGGCUUACCAAGGCUUUGACGGGUAGCCGGCCUGAGAGGGCGACCGGCCACAUUGAGACUGAGAUACGGCCCAGACUCCUACGGGAGGCAGCAGUGGGGAAUAUUGCACAAUGGGCGGAAGCCUGAUGCAGCAACGCCGCGUGCGGGAUGACGGCCUUCGGGUUGUAAACCGCUUUCAGCAGGGGCGAAGCUUGUGGUGACGGUACCUGCAGAAGAAGCACCGGCUAACUACGUG